AACGAACGCUGGCGGCAGGCUUAACACAUGCAAGUCGAGCGGGUGCAGCAAUGCAUCAGUGGCAGACGGGUGAGUAACACGUGGGAACCUUCCUAGGGGUACGGAACAACUCAGGGAAACUUGAGCUAAUACCGUAUACGUCCGUGAGGAGAAAGAUUUAUCGCCCUUAGACGGGCCCGCGUCGGAUUAGCUAGUUGGUGGGGUAAUGGCCUACCAAGGCGACGAUCCGUAGCUGAUCUUAGAGGAUGAUCAGCCACACUGGGACUGAGACACGGCCCAGACUCCUACGGGAGGCAGCAGUGGGGAAUCUUGGACAAUGGGCGCAAGCCUGAUCCAGCCAUGCCGCGUGAGUGAAGAAGGUUUUCGGAUUGUAAAGCUCUUUUGCCAGGGACGAUAAUGACGGUACCUGGAGAAUAAGCCCCGGCAAACUUCGUGCCAGCAGCCGCAGUAACAC
rnacentral:rRNA from 1 species